AACGCACAUUGCGCCCUCUGGUAUUCCGGGGGGCAUGCCUGUUCGAGCGUCAUUAUAUCUCUCAAGCUCUGCUUGGUAUUGAACCAGACCCUUAAAAAGUUGGUUUUAAAGUCAUUGGCAGUGCCUACUGGUUCUCAAGCGCAGUAAUAUCAAUCUCGCUUUCUGAUUCUGUAUUAGUACUAUGCCAAACCUAAUUUUUUAAUUUGACCUCGGAUCAGGUAGGGAUACCCGCUGAACUUAA
rnacentral:misc_RNA from 1 species